AGCGAACGUUUGCGGCGGGCUUAACACAUGCAAGUCGAACGAGAAUCCCUUCGGGGAGGAAAGUGGCGCACGGGUGCGUAACACGUGGAUAACCAACCCAUUGGUUUGGGACAACACCGGGAAACUGGUGCUAAUACCAGAUGUGUCGCAGCUGUCUUCAGGCGGUUGCGAGAAAGGCCCGCAAGGGUCGCCAACGGACGGGUCCGCGUCCCAUCAGCUAGUUGGUGAGGUAAUGGCUCACCAAGGCAAAGACGGGUAGCUGGUCUGAGAGGAUGAUCAGCCACACUGGAACUGAGACACGGUCCAGACUCCUACGGGAGGCAGCAGUGGGGAAUAUUGCGCAAUGGGCGAAAGCCUGACGCAGCCACGCCGCGUGAGCGAUGAAGGUCUUCGGAUCGUAAAGCUCUGUGGGGGGAGAAGAAGAAAGCCGGUGAAGAGCCGGCCCUGACGGUAUCCCCUUAGCAAGCACCGGCUAACUCCGUGCCAGCAGCCGCGGUAAAGUCGU
rnacentral:rRNA from 1 species